rnacentral:rRNA from 1 species
AAAUUGAAGAGUUUGAUCAUGGCUCAGAUUGAACGCUGGCGGCAGGCCUAACACAUGCAAGUCGAGCGGAAACGAGUUAUCUGAACCUUCGGGGAACGAUAACGGCGUCGAGCGGCGGACGGGUGAGUAAUGCCUAGGAAAUUGCCCUGAUGUGGGGGAUAACCAUUGGAAACGAUGGCUAAUACCGCAUGAUGCCUACGGGCCAAAGAGGGGGACCUUCGGGCCUCUCGCGUCAGGAUAUGCCUAGGUGGGAUUAGCUAGUUGGUGAGGUAAGGGCUCACCAAGGCGACGAUCCCUAGCUGGUCUGAGAGGAUGAUCAGCCACACUGGAACUGAGACACGGUCCAGACUCCUACGGGAGGCAGCAGUGGGGAAUAUUGCACAAUGGGCGCAAGCCUGAUGCAGCCAUGCCGCGUGUGUGAAGAAGGCCUUCGGGUUGUAAAGCACUUUCAGUCGUGAGGAAGG